CAACUUGAGCAACAAGGGAUGAAGGAUGGUGCCUGGCAAAGGCUUGGUCAUAAGGUCAGCGAGCUGGCGAGUGGUAGGAACAUGGAACAGUUGCAAUCAGAAUAAAAGAGACCCAUAGAAGAAGUCCCCUUAAGAUAUCGCAGGACAUGAAGAGCAGCAGUCAUAUGAGGGAGUCUGGGGCAUUUGAGGAAUUGACUCAGAUGUUGCACAGCAAAACAUAUGUCAGGCCUAGUAUGGGUCAGAAAUAAGAGCUUACCAACAAGACUCCUAUACUGAUAAGGAGAAGGUAAAAGGUCACUAGAAUCAGCAUGUUUGCAUAAGAAGGUCAGCGAGCUGGCGAGUGGUAGGGACAUGGAACAGUUGAAUUAGGCCACUCUGGAGCAGAUCGCGCACAAAAUGACAAUCCACUUCAAUGUGUUUAGUCCGUUCANAAGGAAUUGACUCAGAUGUUGCACAGCAAAACAGAUGUCAGGCCUAGUAUGGGUCAGAAAUAUGAGCUUACCAACAAGACUCUUAUACUGAUCAAGAGAAGGUAAAAGGUCACCAGAAUCAACAUGUAAUUUUGCAUUGAUGUCCAAAGGACAGACAACAGAAGAAAC
rnacentral:lncRNA from 1 species